rnacentral:rRNA from 1 species
GAUGAACGCUGGCGGCGUGCCUAAUACAUGCAAGUAGAACGCUGAAGGAGGAGCUUGCUCUUCUGGAUGAGUUGCGAACGGGUGAGUAACGCGUAGGUAACCUGCCUGGUAGCGGGGGAUAACUAUUGGAAACGAUAGCUAAUACCGCAUGACAACAGUUAUUGCAUGAUAACUGUUUAAAAGGGGCAACUGCUCCACUACCAGAUGGCCCUGCGUUGUAUUAGCUAGUUGGUGGGGUAACGGCUCACCAAGGCGAAGGUACAUAUCCGACCUGAGAGGGUGGUCGGCCAAACUGGGACUGGGACACGGCCCAGAAUCCUACGGGAGGCAGCAGUAGGGAAUCUUCGGCAAUGGACGGAAGUCUGACCGAGCAACGCCGCGUGAGUGAAGAAGGUCUUCAGAUCGGAAAGCUCUGUUGUAAGAGAAGAAAGAGUGUGAGAGUGGAAAGUUCACACUGUGACGGUAUCUUACCAGAAAGGGACGGCUAACUACGUG